rnacentral:tmRNA from 1 species
CCCCUUUAAAUUUGUUUGAAUAAGGCUUAUAUUAAAGAUGUCAAGGAGACUUGACUAUAGUGAUAAACGUCUUUCGAAAUAGGCGUUACGGACCCGGGGGCGGAGCCCGGCACCUCCACCAUUUAUCUUUAUGGGGGUGAAUUAGGAUCGACGUGCGUAAUAAAGGGUAGAUUUUCACUCGGUAUGGUACCACCGUUAUCGGACUAAACAUUGUAAAUGCAAAAGCAAAUACAUACUCUGAUAUGGUUGCAAACUUAAAUGCUUGUAAUCUUAACGUUGAAAAGGUGGCAGUUGCUAACGCAGCUUAAUCUUUAAGACGAUCGCGGUCCGAGGGGCACCGGGCAACAGAAGCCCCUCACU